UGGGGAAUAUUGCGCAAUGGGGGGAACCCUGACGCAGCCAUGCCGCGUGAAUGAAGAAGGCCUUAGGGUUGUAAAGUUCUUUCGGUAUUGAGGAAGGUUGAUGUGUUAAUAGCACAUCAAAUUGACGUUAAAUACAGAAGAAGCACCGGCUAACUCCGUGCCAGCAGCCGCGGUAAUACGGAGGGUGCGAGCGUUAAUCGGAAUAACUGGGCGUAAAGGGCACGCAGGCGGUUAUUUAAGUGAGGUGUGAGAGCCCCGGGCUUAACCUGGGAAUUGCAUUUCAGACUGGGUAACUAGAGUACUUUAGGGAGGGGUAGAAUUCCACGUGUAGCGGUGAAAUGCGUAGAGAUGUGGAGGAAUACCGAAGGCGAAGGCAGCCCCUUGGGAAUGUACUGACGCUCAUGUGCGAAAGCGUGGGGAGCAAACAGGAUUAGAUACCCUGGUAGUCCACGCUGUAAACGCUGUCGAUUUGGGGGUUGGGGUUUAACUCUGGCGCCCGUAGCUAACGUGAUAAAUCGACCGCCUGGGGAGUACGGCCGCAAGGUUA
rnacentral:rRNA from 1 species